GGGGAGGCCUAACACAUGCAAGUCGAGCGGUAGAGAGAAGCUUGCUUCUCUUGAGAGCGGCGGACGGGUGAGUAAUGCCUAGGAAUCUGCCUGGUAGUGGGGGAUAACGUUCGGAAACGGACGCUAAUACCGCAUACGUCCUACGGGAGAAAGCAGGGGACCUUCGGGCCUUGCGCUAUCAGAUGAGCCUAGGUCGGAUUAGCUAGUUGGUGAGGUAAUGGCUCACCAAGGCGACGAUCCGUAACUGGUCUGAGAGGAUGAUCAGUCACACUGGAACUGAGACACGGUCCAGACUCCUACGGGAGGCAGCAGUGGGGAAUAUUGGACAAUGGGCGAAAGCCUGAUCCAGCCAUGCCGCGUGUGUGAAGAAGGUCUUCGGAUUGUAAAGCACUUUAAGUUGGGAGGAAGGGUUGUAGAUUAAUACUCUGCAAUUUUGACGUUACCGACAGAAUAAGCACCGGCUAACUCUGUGCCAGCAGCCGCGGUAAUACAGAGGGUGCAAGCGUUAAUCGGAAUUACUGGGCGUAAAGCGCGCGUAGGUGGUUUGUUAAGUUGGAUGUGAAAUCCCCGGGCUCAACCUGGGAACUGCAUUCAAAACUGACUGACUAGAGUAUGGUAGAGGGUGGUGGAAUUUCCUGUGUAGCGGUGAAAUGCGUAGAUAUAGGAAGGAACACCUGUGGCCAACGCGAUCACUUGGACUAGUGCUGCCCCCGAGGUGCAACACCGUGGGGAGCAAACAGGAUGGGGUGCCCCUUUAGUCCACGCCGUAAACGAUGUCAACUAGCCGUUGGAAGCCUUGAGCUUUUAGUGGCGCAGCUAACGCAUUAAGUUGACCGCCUGGGGAGUACGGCCGCAAGGUUAAAACUCAAAUGAAUUGACGGGGGCCCGCACAAGCGGUGGAGCAUGUGGUUUAAUUCGAAGCAACGCGAAGAACCUUACCAGGGCCUUGACAUCCAAUGAACUUUCUAGAGAUAGAUUGGUGCCUUCGGAACAUUGAGACAGGUGCUGCAUGGCUGUCGUCAGCUCGUGUCGUGAGAUGUUGGGUUAAGUUCCCGUAACGAGCGCAACCCUUGUCCUUAGUUUACCAGCACGUAAUGUGGGCACUCUAAGGAGACUGGCGAUGACAACCGCAGAAGUGGGAAUGACGUCAGGUCAUCAUGUCUUACGGCUGGCUUACCAACCGUGCUACAAUGCUUCGGUUAACAGAAGUUUGGCUCAAGCCUGCU
rnacentral:rRNA from 1 species